UCCCCUCUUAUCUUCUUCUUUCUUUAACCUUCUCCACUCUCCUUUUUCUCUAUCUUAAUUCAUCUUUGCUUUCCCUUCUCUUCCCUUCUCUCUAAUCUUCUAUUAUCUUCCCCUCUCCUCUCCAUUCUCUCUUCCCAUUUUUUCCCCACUGGCAGAUAGUGAAGCCUAAUAAUGAAUUUAAAAAGCAACAAGUGGAUCAAGGACUUAAUUAGAUGAGAUAAAAAUUAAAGCCAAGAAAUCUUAUAAGUCAUAGUAGACAAGAAAAGUAGGGAGGCAAGGAGAUGGGGAGGUGCGGUUUGAGGGAUUCUUAUAGAUGUUGGAAGCUUGGUAUAAUAAGGAUGCAGGCAUAGAAGUAGAAUGGUUAUAGGAGGUCGAUUGAUGAUAUAAUAAGGAGGCAAGUGCAGAAGAGUGGAAGCAAGA
rnacentral:lncRNA from 1 species